rnacentral:rRNA from 1 species
GGAUAACCGUGGUAAUUCUAUGGCUAAUACAUGCGCAAAGAUCCUUUGAGAAAAGGGUAGUGUUUAUUAGAUACAGAACCAAUAAAGACAUCAUCGCAAGAGCAGCUUUUGCUGUUUUUUAUGGUGUCUUUUUCAAAGGUAAUUCAUUGUAACCGAACGGAUCGCAUAUUCUUGUUUUAGAAUGGCGAUAGAUCAUUCAAGUUUCUGACCUAUCAGCUUUCGACGGUAGUGUAUUGGACUACCGUGGCCGUGACAGGUAACGGGGAACUAGGGUUCGAUUCCGGAGAGGGAGCCUGAGAAACGGCUACCACAUCUAAGGAAGGCAGCAGUCGCGCAAAUUACCCAGUCCUGACACAGGGAGGUAGUGACAAGAAAUAACAACACUGGAAAUUUGAUUUCUAGUAAUUGGAAUGAUGGGAAUCCAGACCCCUUUCAGAGUAACAAUUGGAGGGCAAGUCUGGUGCCAGCAGCCGCGGUAAUUCCAGCUUCAAUAGCGUAUAUUAAAGUUGUUGCAGUUAAGAAGCUCGUAGUUGGAUAUCUGCUGGAAGCAAUCAGUCCGCCCUUUUCAUAGGGGUGUGCACUUGAUGAAUUCUAGCAUGAUUCUUAUCUUUCCUAAUGGUAAUGAUUAUUAUUAGGUUGAUUCCUAAUGUCAAUGGUUAUUAUUGGGAUAGAUAGCCGUUACUUUGAGAAAAUUAGAGUGUUUAAUGCAGGCUGUUAUUAUGCCUUGAAUACUGCAGCAUGGAAUAACAAUAUAGGAUUUCGGUUCUAUUUUGUUGGUUUCUGGGACUGGACUAAUGGUUAAUAGGGACAGUUGGGGGCAUUCGUAUUUAGCUGUCGGAGGUGAAAUUCUUAGAUUUGUUAAAGACGAACUAAUGCGAAAGCAUUUGCCAAAGAUGUUUUCAUAAAUCAAGAACGAAAGUUAGGGGCUCAAAGACGAUCAGAUACCGUCGUAGUCUUAACCGUAAACUAUGCCGACUAGAGAUAGGAAAAUGUCAUUACUGACUUCUCCUGCACCUUAUGAGAAAUCGAAGUCUUUGGGUUCUGGGGGGAGUAUGGUCGCAAGGCUGCAACUUAUAGGAAUUGACGGAAGGGCACCACCUGGCGUGGAGCCUGCGGCUUAAUUUGAUUCACCACGGGGAAACUCACCAGGUCCAGACAUAGGA